CCUACGGGGGGCAGCAGUGAGGAAUAUUGGUCAAUGGGCGGGAGUCUGAACCAGCCAAGUCGCGUGAGGGACGACGGUCCUAUGGAUUGUAAACUUCUUUUGUCGGGGAAUAAAGGCGUCCACGGGUGGACGGAUGAGUGUACCCGAAGAAAAAGCAUCGGCUAACUCCGUGCCAGCAGCCGCGGUAAUACGGAGGAUGCGAGCGUUAUCCGGAUUUAUUGGGUUUAAAGGGUGCGUAGGCGGACAGUAAAGUCAGCGGUAAAAAUGUGGUGCUCAACGCCGUACAGCCGUUGAAACUGGCAGUCUUGAGUGCGCGAGAGGUAGGCGGAAUGCGUGGUGUAGCGGUGAAAUGCUUAGAUAUCACGAAGAACUCCGAUUGCGAAGGCAGCAUACCGGCGCGCUACUGACGCUGAGGCACGAAAGCGUGGGUAUCGAACAGGAUUAGAUACCCCGGUAGUC
rnacentral:rRNA from 1 species